GGAUGUGAGGGCGAUCUGGCUGUGACAUCUGUCACCCCAUUGAUCGCCAGGGUUGAUUCAGCUGAUCUGGCUGGCGAGGUGGGUGUCCUCUUCCUCCCUCAACGAACCAUGUGUGUCCCUCCUGAAGCUGCGCGCUCGGUGGAAGAGGAUGACCAUCCCCAAUAGAGGAGGGCCGUUGUUCGGUUAAGGGUAUACGAGUAGCUGUGCUCCCCUGCUAGAACCUCCAAACAAGCUCUCAAAAACACAAGACUGAAACUACUGUUGUAUGUGUGAUUGGUAGUGGUGCUUCCUGUCA
rnacentral:snRNA from 1 species